CACGUAGAGGCAGGGCCAGCGCUGCACGCAGGCUGACGGGGGGUGGGGACAAGCACCACAUCAUGGGCCUGAGGUUGCCUUGGGGUGCGCAGCCAGCACACUCCCACAGCGUCCCAGGAUGCCUCUCUCCAGCUCCCAGACGCGGGGCCCCCACCUCCUCCCUCACCCAGCUCCAUCUGGCCGACAUGGGGGGCUCAGGGCCUCCCUCCACAGCCGGAUCCAACAUGCGACAAUGGCUUGCAGAGGAAAGGCCUCCUGGCCCCCAGCCCCGGUGCUGGCGCUCUCAGCUGCCCCACUCCCCACCUCGCCCAGGCAGUCUCCACCCUGCACAGCCCAGCAAGCUCUAUGGACAACGACAUUUCUCCAGUGCCAUGUCCUGAAGAUGGAAGGGAGGAUCUCAGGAGCUGACACCCGCACUCUUGCACGUUCGAUCCAAGCUAGCUGGAGAAACGGAAGCUCAGAGAGGACUUAGGACUUGCUCCAGGUCACAGGAGAAUUUGAAGCUGGGUCUGUCUGAGCCCCAGCCCUGGCUCACCUUGCUAUCCUCAGGCUCCGAGAAAGUGUCGGUUUCCUCCUCGGUGGGCAUCUCCAGGUCGGACUCCUCAGAGGCGAUGGGCACGUGUAUGGUCAGGUCCUCCUCGGGCGGCUCCUUCUUCUCAUCCAUGGGGGCAGUCUCCCCGGCCUUUCCAGCCUCCCCAGCCCCGACAGGCUCCCCGAGGCUAAGCAUGAUGUCCUUGGGGC